CACGGAAACGUUUUAGUAGAUUGCGUUCACUUGAGGAUCGUAUGUGAUCACCGAAGACACGUUCUAAUGGCAGGCGCAAACUGGACCUCUCUUUCACCGUUUCAUCCGGUAGAAAUGAUUAAAUCUUCAAAAGAGGGGCCGACAUGUUUAAGUAAAGGUCAAACAAAUAAGACAUGCUGUUUGACUCAUGCUUAGUCUUCACUGUGCUGCGCGUGUCAAAUGCCAGGACUUCAUUCUUCCACCAGAUGGAGAUAUUAUUAUAUUUACUGUAGUUCAUGGGGACCAUAGCUCUCAUUCAUUUCCUGGUUAUGCCAUUGCCUUAAGACUCGUCCCAACAGCAUCUUAUCUUCUCUGCUGUUGCUCGGUUUGACAACAAUGACGCACCCAACGGAUUAUUUUUGCCAUUCUUCUUCAGAAAGUGGCGUCAGCCUCCAUGUGCAGGAGAGCGGCGAUGCAGGCCUCUCCUCUAACAUGGACCACCAGUUCAAUGAUAAGUACAGUGAGUGUACUUUGCCUGUAGCAGAUAAAGGCAGCUUUGUGAUACCCAUUCCUAAGCAGGAACGAGACAUCUUUGAGUGCCCGAAGAUGUCAGGAAAGAUCUGGUCACAGCCAUCGGUAUUCGGGCGUGCUGCUUGUCCAAAGGUGGAGUCACAGCCUGAGACUGCUGAGGAAAGGUUCUCAACACCACCCAUUGUAGCUGCGGGCCAAAAAAACAACUUUGUGCCACAAGCUACAUCAUUAGCCCUCUCAGAAAACAACCCGGAAGAGGAAACUGACAAGGUUUUACCCAGAACAGCAGCCAUUACAGAAGAACAGCAGGAUGUGGAGAUUGCAGUAGAAGAUAGCUGCAUCAAGGACACCAAAAUGGACACUGGGGGAAACCCAGAAAGAAAAAAAGGUCCGCCAGUGGAUUAUGGAGAAGUGAGAAACCGCCACCAUCACAGGAAAAGAGCUGCUGGGAAGACAUUCUACCUUCUCUGUGCGGUGGCUUUCAUUGUUCCAGUCUCUGAGGCCUCUGCCGGUGGGAAGUGCUUUACCUGUGUGGACAAGGACAGGUGCCCAAAGCUGAUGACCAUAUAUAGCAAUGAUGACCAUUGUUUGUACAAAGGAGCUGUCAAUCAAAAAUUUCCAGAAUGCUGUGGGAUCUCUCCACCCACUCCUAACAGUUGUGUUGUGUGCCGUGACCGAAACAACAUCACCAUCGUCUGCUCAGAGGAGGUCAGACGGGUGGAGGUGGAGGACAGCAAUGGAGAACACAUUCUGAACGUCUCUCCGGGCUGUGCACCACAGCGCACCUGUUCUGCACGUAUUGGAUUGAUUGUCAGCUCCGCUGUCUUUUUGAUCGUGGUGGCAGCGCUGGGGAUCUCGUGUGUAAGUGUGACUCAGUAUUGUAACUGAUCCAACAGCUUUCAACAUGUUCAAACUGAGACACAGAGCUAUCUCAUUCAUGUUCUUUUCCUUUUAGUGCUGCCGGAGAAACAGGACUUAAAUUAGCCAAAAAUGAAGACCGCUGCACGAUCAGAAGAAGAAGAAAGCAGUCAGAUGAGGCAAUUCUCUCACCAAGCUGUUGUUUUUCUAUCGAAUGGUCACUAGCUUUAGCUGCCAUAUGGGGGCAAUGUAGAUGCUAUAAAGAAAUUAGCUGUGUAGGGUAUUUUUAUUGUAUUCUCCUUGGUACAACUGCUGCCUUAGACCAAUAACCGUGCUGCAGCUCAUGCUUACAUGAUUAUUUUUCUGCUGAUUAUUUUCUUGAUGUUAUACUCAAAAACCUAAAUAAAAACAGGAUUAAUCGAUGAUGAAACUAACUGCAGAUUAUUUCUCUGUCCAUCAACUAACUGCUCACUUGACAAUCAGCUUUCAGGUCCACUUCAUAGCCAAUGAUAGCAAUGAUAGCAAUGAUGGCAAUGACGUUUGAAAUUAGUCAGCUUUGUGCAAAAGUGGCCUAAUGAAAAUGUGUAUAUGCUGUCUUAAUUAAAAAUUGCUUU